AAAAGCGUAAAUUUCUCACGACUGAGAU
rnacentral:sRNA from 1 species